GAUGAACGCUGGCGGCGUGCCUAAUACAUGCAAGUCGAGCGAACAGACGAGGAGCUUGCUCCUCUGACGUUAGCGGCGGACGGGUGAGUAACACGUGGAUAACCUACCUAUAAGACUGGGAUAACUUCGGGAAACCGGAGCUAAUACCGGAUAAUAUAUUGAACCGCAUGGUUCAAUAGUGAAAGACGGUUUUGCUGUCACUUAUAGAUGGAUCCGCGCCGCAUUAGCUAGUUGGUAAGGUAACGGCUUACCAAGGCGACGAUGCGUAGCCGACCUGAGAGGGUGAUCGGCCACACUGGACCUGAGACCCGGUCCAGACUCCUACGGGAGGCAGCAAUAGGGAAUCUUCCGCGAUGGGCGAAAGCCUGACGGAGCAGCGCCGCGUGAGUGAUGAAGGUCUUCGGGUCGUAAAACUCUGUUAUUGGGGAAGAACAAAUGUGUAAGUAACUAUGCACGUCUUGACGGUACCUAAUCAGAAAGCCACGGCUAACUACGU
rnacentral:rRNA from 1 species